CCUACGGGAGGCAGCAGUGGGGAAUCUUGCACAAUGGGCGAAAGCUUGAUGCAGCAACGCCGCGUGCGGGAAGAAGGCCCUAGGGUUGUAAACCGCUUUCAGCAGGGAAGAAGAUGACGGUACCUGUAGAAGAAGGUGCGGCCAACUACGUGCCAGCAGCCGCGGUAAU
rnacentral:rRNA from 1 species